GUCUCACUUUGGCAGCACAUAUACUAAAAUUGGAAUGAUAGAGAGAAGAUUAGCAUGUCCCCUGCGCAACUAUGACAGGCAAAUUUGUGAAGUGUUCCAUAUUUUU